rnacentral:rRNA from 1 species
GUGGGGAAUAUUGGACAAUGGGCGAAAGCCUGAUCCAGCCAUGCCGCGUGUGUGAAGAAGGUCUUCGGAUUGUAAAGCACUUUAAGUUGGGAGGAAGGGCAGUAAGUUAAUACCUUGCUGUUUUGACGUUACCGACAGAAUAAGCACCGGCUAACUUCGUGCCAGCAGCCGCGGUAAUACGUAGGGUGCAAGCGUUGUCCGGAUUUACUGGGUUUAAAGGGUGCGCAGGCGGGCUAUUAAGUCUGUGAUGAAAUGUCAGGGCUCAACCUUGGCGCUGUUGCGGAAACUAAUAGUCUUGAGAUCUGUUGAGGUAGCUGGAAUGAGUGGUGUAGCGGUGAAAUGCGUAGAGAUCACUCGGAACACCGAUUGCGAAGGCAGGUUACUAAGCAGCAUCUGACGCUCAGGCACGAAAGCGUGGGUAGCAAACAGGAUUAGAUACCCGGGUAGUCC